rnacentral:rRNA from 1 species
UACGAAGGGGGCUAGCGUUGCUCGGAAUGACUGGGCGUAAAGGGCGCGUAGGCGGUUUGGACAGUCAGAUGUGAAAUUCCCGGGCUCAACCUGGGGGCUGCACUUGAUACGUAUGGACUGGAGUGGGGAAGAGGGUCGUGGAAUUCCCAGUGUAGAGGUGAAAUUCGUAGAUAUUGGGAAGAACACCGGUGGCGAAGGCGGCGACCUGGUCCUUGACUGACGCUGAGGCGCGAAAGCGUGGGAGCAACA